rnacentral:tRNA from 1 species
GCCGUGGCUCAGUGGAAGAGUGUCUGCUUUGCAUACAGCGGGUCCCGGGUUCGAUCCCAGGCUGCAUCU